rnacentral:lncRNA from 1 species
GGAAUGUGUGCUCUCCCCUGUAUCUUCUGUAUUAAGGAAUAGGGAAGAAAUGAAUGUCCAUAUAGUUAAGGUAUUGUUGUUAUUUUCAAAAUUGAAUGAGGUUGAAUUGAGUGAUUACCAUUGUUAUUGAAAUUUUGUCUAACUCCACCAUGAGGCAAUUGUAUCAUGUUCGCCUUAUAUGACUUAAGCACAUUGUAUUUGGAACUUGAUUGCUAAUGCCUUCAUUGAAUGGCACUAUGUUAGGGUGAUUGCUACUGCCUUCCUUGAAUGACACUACGUUAGGGUGUUGGACUUCUACAACACCAUAAUUGGCUCGCCGUUGUGCUAAAUAUUCAUCUCGGUGUGCCGAGCUCAUUAAGUUCCUUCUUAUCCCUUGACGACUCCG